rnacentral:rRNA from 1 species
GAUUAACGCUGGCGGCGUGCAUAAUACAUGCAAGUCGAACGAAGUGGCGGACGGGUGAGUAAUGCCUAGGAAUCUGCCUAGUAGUGGGGGAAACCGUCCGGAAACGGGCGCUCAUACCGCAUACUAUCAGCAGCGCCUAGGUCGGAUUAGUUAGUUGGGGGGGUAAAGGCCUACCAAGGCGACGAUCCGUAACUGGUCUGAGAGGAUAAUCGAUCACACUGGAACUGAGACACGGUCCAGACCCCUACGGGAGGCAGCAGGGGGGAAUAUUGGACAAUGGGCGAAAGCCUGAUCCAGCAAUGCCGCGUGGGUGAAGAAGGUCUUCGGAUUGUAAAACACUGUAAGUUGGGAGGCGUUACCAACAGAGUAAGCACCGGCUAACUUCGUGCCAGCAGCCGCGGUAAUAC